ensembl:lncRNA
AACAGGUUUAGGUGUUUUCAAAUCUCAGCUUUCAUAAGGCCCUGCAGCAGCAAAGGCAUAAUGCUGCACUUUUUUUUGCCUCCGUUUCAUGCUUAAAUUUUAUUUAGUGAAAGUCCCAGGAUACAAUCCAAGGAUAGCCUGAACAAUUCCCAUAGCUGUUUCUUUGACCUAACUGUUAUGAAGACCUUUGACAACUUCUAGUAUUCAACACUAGAAUUUUGCUGGUUAUAGAUGUCAGAUCCUUUAAGCUUCAAUUAUCCUUAGCUUUUCUCCCUCUCUUCCUCUCUUUUUCUCUUGAUGGGCUGAUGGUUUUGACACACAACUGACCACAGUGAAGUGUCUUUCUUUGACAGCUUGCUCAUGGUUGUUAUUUAUCUCCCCUCCUGUGCCUUUUAGCACCCCGGUUUCUUUGCCAGAUAUAAAGUGAACCUCAGGGAAAACAGAGUCGGAGCUGAGAGAAGCAGGAGAAGGAUUAAUCCCAGAGGAUACCAUGAUCAGCUGAGUUUUCAGUUUGAAGUUCUGGAGCUGGAGGGCUGCAUUCCCUGACGGACUAGAAAUAACUGCAGUAUUAUUAAAACUGCUCCAUCACUGGCUGUAAUGGGAGCGUCUGUAUUUUCUCCCUCGCCUGUAUCCCUGACAUGACAUAAUGCCUGCCCUCACCAAGACGCUAUAACACCGAGGUCAGAGGUGCAAGGCUUUGAUGGAAGGCUGCGCCAGUGUGUCCCACUGUCCAGUGCAGAUGUGGCAACCUAAGGCACUGCCCAUCUCUGCAGGUCCAAGUUUUUCCAUUACAAAUGUGUGAUACCCAAACACAAGCCAGAGAUCAACGUGGGUUGUAGAACUCUCAGCACUGCAAGAGGCCUCACUCACAUAGCAAUGGUCAGGAGCUGAAAUAUUUUGUGACUCUAAGACUUGGAAGACCCUCAUGGUCACAGAUGUCUGCUGAAUAACCUCAGCUUCUUCAGUUCACAGCUCUUAGCUGAGGCCAGCCAGUGUGAAGCAAGCUGUGCAAAAUCCUGGGAUGCCUCCUACCCUUCUGCCUCCCAUGCAGGCAAAUGGCUGUCGAGGUUCAAUCUGCCCAAGCAAACAGGGUGGCAAAGACAAGUGACCUACUUCUUGAGAAGCCCUGGUACUUCAGCAGCCUCGCUUUCCACCAGCCCUCCAGGAAUCACGUGCUAACCCCCUGAGGAAAGUACUGAAUUGCAACUCCCAUGUCAAAUCACCACUUCUAAAUGAAAUACUAAAAAGUUUAACCUGUCAUUUCAUUUUCAAGGCAUUGUUCCUUUUUUNNNNNNNNNNNNNNNNNNNNNUUUUUCUUUAGAUAUGAACAUAAAUUAUAGCCUGUUUGGUGGGGGAGGGGAAAGGGGGGGAAGCAUUUGAGUCUAAAACUAAAAUUGAGUUUUUGAUUUUGAAGCAUUGAUUUAAAAUAGAGGGGAGGAAUUCAUUUUAAAUCAAUUCAGAAUUUCUGGUGAGAACAUACUCAUUUUUCCCUUGUCUUCUUUCUCCUCUCCUCCCUCUCUCUGUUGUACUCUAGCAGGUAAAGCAAAAAUAACAGCAAGCAAGGACACACAUCAGUGAUGCCAAGGUUUUCAUUA